AAAUUUACCAUUUUAAUGGCGGCAUUUGAAUUUUUUUGUCAUGAGCGUUUCUUUAUCGACAGCUGUAGUAAUCUUGAACUCUGCUCCAGGCUUCAACUUAUGGUUUUGGAGUUAGCGAAGUCACCAAGGGCACUGUUAGCAUGGUAUGGAGUACAAUCUGUGCUUGUUAGGCUUCCCCAUUGGCAUCUUCACCAUCAGCAAUCACAGCAAUGGAUUCACCUUCUCUAUAUGGGACCUGAUCAACACAACAAAAAUAGUUUAGCUCAAACAAAACUUUAACAGUUUAUAGUAUAAAC